rnacentral:rRNA from 1 species
GAUGAACGCUGGCGGCGUGCCUAAUACAUGCAAGUCGAGCGAAACGACGAUGAGAUUUUUCUUCUGACGUUAGCGGCGGAAGGGUGAGUGCCAAGUGGAUAAUCACCCUAUAAGACCCGGAUUACAACGGGAAACUGGAGCUAAUAACGGAUAAUAUAUUCCACAGCAUGGUUCAAUAGUGCAAGACGGUUUUGUUGACACUUUUAGAUGGUUCCGCGCCGCAUUAGCUAGUUGGUAAGGUAACGGCUUACAAAGGCGACGAUGCGUAGCCGACCUAAGAGGGUGAUCGGCCGCACUGGUACGGGGUCACGGGCCAGACUCCUACGGGAGGCAGCAGUAGGGAAUCUUCCGCAAUGAGCGGAGGCCUGACGUGGCAACGCCGCGUGAGUGAGGAGGGUCAACGGAGCGUAAAACACGAUGAUUAUGGAAGUACAAAUGUGUUAUUAACUAGGCACGACUUGACGGUACCUAAUCAGAAAGCCACGGCUAACUACGUG